rnacentral:rRNA from 1 species
CACGUAGGGCGCAAGCGUUGUCCGGAAUUAUUGGGCGUAAAGAGCUCGUAGGCGGUCUGUUGCGUCCGCUGUGAAAACUCGGGGCUUAACCCCGAGCCUGCAGUGGAUACGGGCAGACUAGAGGUAGGUAGGGGAGAAUGGAAUUCCCGGUGUAGCGGUGAAAUGCGCAGAUAUCGGGAGGAACACCCGUGGCUAAGGCGGCUCUCUAGUACGGUACUGACGCUGAGACGCGAAAGCGUGGGGAGCGAACAGG